rnacentral:tRNA from 1 species
GGCGCUAUAGUGUAGUGGUUAUCACUCAGGAUUCUGACUCCGUGCUUUCCUGAAACCCAGGUUCGAGCCCUGGUAGCGCCU